AAGAAACAUUUGUUUUAAACCAUUUGGCAAUGUUUCUCGCAAUGUAGAAGCAAAGGUCAGAAGAAUCCUCUUGGAUAAAAACAAUUUUCAAUCCAUAAGUAUGUCGAAGAAAUUGAAACGAACUUUGAAAGAAGAAAAUGAAGAAUGGGAAUUACAAUAUUUUUUAGUGAAUAGUGGAGGCAAAAUGUCUUGUUUGCUUUGUGAUACCGCAAUUGUAACAGUUAAGAAAUUCAAUGCACAGCAGCAUUAUGUUCUUCAUAAAGGCAAAAAAAUAUACCAAAUUAGAGGGUGAAUCCCGAAAGAUAGCACUGCUGAAACUGAAAGAUGGAAAGCAAAAGCAAAGACAAUUUUUCCAUUCUGUGUUACAUCAAGGAAAUGGUGCGACAGAAGCCAGCUAUAAAGAUGCAUAUUUGCUUGGAAAAUAGGACCAAUUGAUACUAAGAACCACUAUGUUAGAACCUGAUAUCAAAAUGUUUUCUCAAAAAAAAAAAAAAAGAAGCAAACUCAAAGAAGUCGUUAAUUUGAAUAACGAGUAAAUACAUACCUAAAUAAAAUAUUUCAAAAUUUCAUA
rnacentral:misc_RNA from 1 species